UUGGAUGUUAUCAGCCACCAGUGUGGGGGUAGUGAUGAGUCUUUUGAAUAUCCUUUCAUUCCUAGCCUUCCAAAUCUCCCACAAUGUACUGUAGCAUAUGUUGAUUAUAACCUUCAUAUUCUUCCUACAUGUGUCGUGUUUUGCUGCAUAUUCGAUCGGCUCUCCCACCGUGUUAAGUUGAAUUUGAGGCAUGUUGCACCAUUCCCAUACAGUUUUCGCAAAGGUGCAGUUGAGUAGGAUGUGAUUUGGGCUUUCAUCCAUUGCCAUACAAUAUCCACAUUGGAUUGAUUCUACGGUUAUGCCUCUCUUAGCUAGUUCAGUGGCUGCCGGUAUCCUUCCUAGACUUGCUCUCCAUAUAAAAGAAAGAAAUUUAAUAGGAAUUUCUUUCAUCCAUUCAACUUUAACUUGAGGUACCAGAUUUGUAGGCCAAUCAAUCAUAUAUAUGCCGUCACCUGAUAAUUCGAAACUCCAUUUAUCUCCAGUUGUUGUUGGCUGAAAUUGACCCAAGGAAGGAAGAGUAGAGAGCUGCAAGGUCAGUGUUGUUCGGACUAUUUUUCCAAUUCCAUUCCAAUCCAGUGAUCUUCACUCUAUCCUCCACAGUGCAUAUUUAUUAGUAAAUCAAAAACAAUUCAAAAAAUUAACUUGGCUGGUUAAUAAUAGGUAAUUAAUUAAUGCUUAAGAUUCUAAUUAAAUUCAUGAUCUUCAAGCGGUUGGGGGCACAAACGGUUCGUUUGACUACAAAGUGAGUGCCAGUGGUGCCUGAACUCUUCGUAUUUGUUUCUUUCUUCUUUGUAUCCAAUUUUUCAGUUUUGUUCCUCAGAACACUUGUUUUGUUGACAUUAAGAGGAUCUUAACCAUUUUCCUCUGGCGCUCCAAGAGUAAAAUAAAUUGAUUUCAAGAAAUUAGUGACAGCGGGAAGAAGACGAUGAUGUCAGAGAGCAAGCGUUCUCCUUCCCAUGCUCUCCAUUUUUUCUUCAGUUGUCCAUUGUAUAAACCCACAUUACCCAUACUCAUAGUUUCCAUCCGAUGAUCAAUAGUACAUAAACAUUCGCUGUACAUCUCACGCCACCUAGCCUCCUGCUUCCAUCUUCUUUUUCCCUUCUUGAUCCAAUGCUUCACUUAACUUCUCCUCUACCGCCUCUGUUUCUUGAAACUGAAGCCUCUCACCCCAAAUAUCAACUUAUACGCCCCACUCCCACUGAAGCGAAGACUUGAAAUAUUCUUUUGGUUUGAUCUCAGCUAAUCAAACGUCCAGAAUCUUGAAGCAAAGCAGAGAAAUAACGAAUGAUUAUCAUCGUGGUUUUCCAUUUUUUCUUCGACAUCUUUGCUUUCACCCAAAUCAACGCCUCUCACAGGCUCCUGCGCAGACGAUGGCCAUAGUGGACGGAGGGUUUCUUUGUGUUAGUCUGAUUCCACUAUUUGUUUCCCAAUUUCACAAUCUUGAGGUAUUUUUGAACCCUGUUGGUUUUAAUUUGUUAUUUGGGAAUGCAAUAGGUUCUUCCAAGGUCUGAGCUCAUACAGAUAGGUUCUGAAGAGCGUUUAUUGCUAAUUAUAGAGGUAUAUUUUGUUUCUUUUCAUCUUCUUGACUUAGGUGGGAUAUGUUGAUUCUUGGAUUACAUGCUGAAAUACAUGCAAUGCCAAAUCUCAAUUAUCAAGUCUUCAAUUGAAGUAUGUUCGAAUCUAUGUAUGUGUACCACAUGUACAAUUGUGAUUUUGUACAUAUUCUCAUGUUGGUUUUUCCUUUUAGAUAUUGUUCAAUAAUCUUGAUUUGGACAUGAAGACAGGGUUAGGAAAAAUGAAGGAAACCCUGAUUUCUGUUGGUACAUCUCAACAAAAUACUGUAAAUUAAGGUGAAUUACCACAUAUUAUAUACCAGGUUUGUUUUCUAUAUAUGUUUUUGUUUUUAGAGUAUUCAAGCUAUUUCACUAUCUGAUUUGCUGCUGUUUUUUAUUUUGGUGGACAGCAUGCUACAUGUUGAAGAUAUGAACAUGCUUCUAUUUUUCUGUUUUGAUUGCAACUGCUAACUAGAUAAUUAAAAACUGUUUGCUGAAAAACAUAUUAUUUACUUUUUCAGGGUGCUUCCAAUGGUAAUGGAUAAGGCUAUUAAUGAAAUAUUGUAAGAAGAGUGUUUCAAACAACAAUGGCACUUGUUUUAAAGUUAGUUCUUUGUUUUGAAUCCUCCAAAUUCUGAUGAGAACUAUAUCCAUACUUAGCUUGAAAUCUGUCUCUUAUAUUACUAUCAAGGUUCAUUGUUAAGCAUUUUCUGUUUUGUUCAUGUGUGAUUGAUUGUGUAUUAUUUUCAGAUAAGAAACUAAGAUCUCUACAGGGUUUGAAUAAUGCAAGUGAAUCCCUUGAACAUGCCAUGCAACGUGUUAAUGUGUUAUUGAUGACAACCUUGAGUUUUUUUUAAUCUUGUUAUAUGCAUUGCAUCCUGUGUUUAUAUUGAUUGAUGCAUGUGCUAAUAAAUAAUACUACAAAAUGAAAUUACUAUGUAACAUUUAUAGUUUUAAUUAUGAAUGUCCAAAAGGUAGGUAACUUAUAAUCUUUUACUCUUUGCUUAUAAUCGUCUGAUAAGUGCUAAGUUCUGAAUAUAUUUAGCUGCACAAGUUUUUCCAUUUAAAAUUCCAUUCAUCACAGCUAUGGUUUUAACUAUAAUAUAUGACACAUAGGGGCAACAACAUAAUUUUUUUACAUAUGUUCUAGAAAAAAAAAACAUUCCAAUAAGGUAGGUCACUUGUUGACCGGUUUAACUGUUAAGUCUUUGGUGACAUGGUGUCAUGCAUUUGACAAUUCUAUGACCUUUGAUGACAUGUCAAAUGCAUGCCAUGUCAUGUCACCAAAACUUAGCGGUUAUUUAACUGGGAAUAGAGUAUUUUCCAGUGGAACCAAUUUUCAAACAAGUUGAAUAAAGAAAAGCUAAUAAUAUAUAUAUAUGAUUCUUUCUUGUUAAUGAGAUCCAGUUUUAUGUUUGGAUGAUUGUUACAGGUGAGUGACACAGCAAGGAUGAUGCAUGGUGCAUUUAAUUAUAUGUUCCGAACCAUUGACAUGACAGCUACUAAUUCAUUAAUCAACACUCUUUCACCGACUCACCUAAUAAUUUCUCUCAUCUUAAUAUUCUUCAUUUUUAAGUCCUUAAUUUAUCAAUCUAAUCAUUAUUAAUUUCAUUCUUUUAAUGUAAAACCAGGUGUCUAUGACUGGUUUUCCACUUUUCACUGGCUAUGCCCACAGUGGAGUUUUUUUGCCAGUUUGAUUCCACCAUUUGUUUCUCAAUUUCAGAAUCUUUAGGAACAUGCCACCUGAAACCAUGGUGGGCCCCUUCAAAGCCAAUCUCAUGUAGAAGCCAACAUCUCCAAUGUUUAAUUUCUUGAAUCAUUAUCAUGGUGUUUAAAAAAAGUUAAACAAUUACAUCAAUAUAUAGAAAGCAAUUUUGGUAAAAUUUCUUAGGUUUAUAUGCAAGAAAAAAGAUUGCACUAUUCCAUUACAUUUUCAGUUUUUCCCUUAUUAAAGUUAUGCUUUCAAUCCUCUUAUUUAUUGCAAAAAAUUCAUUUUAAAAAGUUUACCUAUUACAUUGAUUAUGUAUGACUUAUGUUUUGUGGUAUGUGUUUGUAGGAUUUUUCACAUGUUACAGGAAAGAUAAAGAAGAAAUUUUCUUUAUUUAUAUUAUGUCAUGUCCCGCUGCUGUAAUUCUUUUUCACUUUCCAUUUACUUAUUGAUACAAUUACAUCUGAGUUGAUACUAAACAUUUUUAUAUUUCCACUUUUAUAGUGGGGAUUCAAGUAUAUCCAGAAAUAGCAAAAUACUUUAAUUUCUUACUCCAA